UACAGAGGGUGCGAGCGUUAAUCGGAAUUACUGGGCGUAAAGCGCACGUAGUCGGCUUUGCAAGUCGGGUGUGAAAUCCCCGGGCUCAACCUGGGAACUGCAUCCGAGACUGCAUUGCUAGAGUAUGGGAGAGGGAAGCGGGAUUUCUGGUGUAGCAGUGAAAUGCGUAGAUAUCAGAAGGAACAUCAGUGGCGAAGGCGGCUUCCUGGACCAAUACUGACGAUCAGGUGCGAAAGCGUGGGGAGCAAACAGG
rnacentral:rRNA from 1 species